ACGUCAUCCCCACCUUCCUCCGAGUUGACCCCGGCAGUCUCCUAUGAGUCCCCGGCAUUAUCCGCUGGCAACAUAGGACGAGGGUUGCGCUCGUUGCGGGACUUAACCCAACAUCUCACGACACGAGCUGACGACAGCCAUGCACCACCUGUAUACCGACCUUGCGGGGGCUGCAUCUCUGCAGCUUUCCAGUGCAUGUCAAGCCCUGGUAAGGUUCUUCGCGUUGCAUCGAAUUAAACCACAUGCUCCGCUGCUUGUGCGGGGCCCCGUCAAUUCCUUUGAGUUUUAGCCUUGCGGCCGUACUCCCCAGGCGGGGUGCUUAAUGCGUUAGCUACGGCACGGAAGGAGUCGACACCUCCCACACCUAGCACCCAUCGUUUACGGCGUGGACUACCAGGGU
rnacentral:misc_RNA from 1 species